GAUGAACGCUGGCGGCGUGCCUAAUACAUGCAAGUCGAGCGAACAGACGAGGAGCUUGCUCCUCUGACGUUAGCGGCGGACGGGUGAGUAACACGUGGAUAACCUACCUAUAAGACUGGGAUCACUUCGGGAAACCGGAGCUAAUACCGGAUAAUAUAUUGAACCGCAUGGUUCAAUAGUGAAAGACGGUUUUGCUGUCACUUAUAGAUGGAUCCGCGCCGCAUUAGCUAGUUGGUAAGGUAACGGCUUACCAAGGCAACCAUGCGUAGCCGACCUGAGGGGGUGAUCGGCCACACUGGAACUGAGACACGGUCCAUACUCCUACGGGAGGCAGCAGUAGGGAAUCUUCCGCAAUGGGCGAAAGCCUGACGGAGCAACGCCGCGUGAGUGAUGAAGGCCUUCGGAUCGUAAAACUCUGUUAUUAGGGAAGAACAAAUGUGUAAGUAACUAUGCACGUCUUGACGGUACCUAAUCAGAAAGCCACGGCUAACUACGUG
rnacentral:rRNA from 1 species